CGGGCUGCGGUCGCACAGCUGGCACCUGGCCGUGCGGCCCUGGCGGUAGCGCUGCACGAUGGCCUCCAGCAGCCGGUUGCGCUGGAAGCCGCGGAGGCCGCGCUGCUCCAGCGAGGCGCUCCGGUGGCACUGCGGGCAGGCACUUAUUCCAUUGCAAAAAGAACUACAGAGAGAGAGAGUUCACAAAACCAGAAGAUGACAAAACACAUCUGGGCUAAUGCCAGCGUGUGUCUGGCAGUGUAAGAAUUCAAACAGCGGGCAGCGACCUCAGAACGGUGCUCUUGAGAAGUGAGAGAAGGGAGCGCUGGACCCUGCACCUCCAUGUUUAAUGGAAAUCACGAUUGACAUUGGGAGCAUCAUCAGUGCCUUCACAACAUGAGUAUUAUAGAGAGCUCUUGUAGCAUUUUCUUUUUUUGUUGUUGUUUUUUUUGUUUUUAAGGUACUGUGUGAAUUUCUUAAAAAGACGUCUGAAUUUCACAAAGUCGUGCUCACUGUGCCCAUUUGAGCAAAGGGCUGCAAAAAGCUGUCCUGAGCAUGUACUUGCGGUCAGUCUAAACUCUCUGCCCUGGAUCUGCCUCAGUUCCCUGCUCUGCCCAGCUGCCCCCAUGGUCAUCCUACUCAUGACUAAAAGGAAAAGAAGCUUAUCUGGCUUUUUUGAAAAGCUAGCCAAGGAGUACGUAAAAUCCAAAGUGUUCGUGUGUUCACUUUUUGCAGGAAGACUGGGAGGAGGUAGAAAACAAUCACAGACUCAUAGAAUAUCCCAAGUUGGAAGGGACACUCAAGGAUCACUGUGUCCAACUCUGGGCUCUACAAAGAACCACACAAAAAUCAACCCAUACGUCUGAGAGCAUUGUCCAAACACUCCUUGAACUCCUUCAGGCUCGGCGCCAUGACCAUUGCCCUGGGGAGCCUGUCUCAGUGCCCAACCACCCUCUGGGUGCAGAACCUUUCCCUAACCCCCAGCCUGGCCCUCCCCUGCCCCAGCUCCAUGCUGUC